rnacentral:antisense_RNA from 1 species
AUGUUUCCUGAACACAAAAUGGCGACACGUGGUUAGCAUUCGUCGCCAACGAGAAAUUGGGGUCGGCCCGAAAGCUCUAGAAUGCACCCCUAUUCCUCCCCGGGGCCAUUCCCGCUCAACGAGUUUUAUGACCUAAAAAACCCCACAGGCUGGUCUGAAGAUUUGGUAGCAUGGGCUGUUGUGCUGGAGAGAACGAGAGCUACGAAGAGACUAGAAUGCCUCUGACUUUUUCAUAGGACAGUUGGCCGAGGAAGACACUUAAAGAUGAAGUGCUUAAUUCAAGGUCACAGAAUGUCGGGGAUGGACCUCCAGAUUUCCUUACUGACCUGCAUUAUCUUGUGGAUACCUGAGUGAAUUCCACACCACCCAUUUUAUAGAUGAAGCCACUGAGACGUGGAGCAACUGACUGAGUAGUCACUGCCCCACCCCUGCCUGGAGCCUCACACAUGACUUCUCUUAGUGACCACAGGAAAACAAGCUCAGGGCUCCCACUGAUUGUACAUUAUGAGACAGA